UAAUGAGAGGACUCGAGGUUCUCUUAUUGCUGUAACCUGCGUUUUGGUUGCUUCAGGACUUGUUGGACUUGCAAUAUAUCUUAAGAGGAGGAGAAACGGACACUUACAUACAGAUUCACCUGAAAGAAAGCAAGAUGUCAUUCAGUAUGCAGAGAUAACUCACAUUAAACCAACAGAUAACCAGGAGGAGCAAAGAGGUAUACCAGAACUGGAUCUGCUUAGAGACAACCCUAACCUGACAUUAGUUUAUUAUACACUCCAGUUACAUCACAUCGCUGCCAGCGAGGAUGUUAACACAGCAUGAAGGAGAGAGAGAACAGCAAGUUACUGAGAGGGUGACAUGAUAAUUCACAUCCAAGAGAAGGCGUUACAUCUUACAGUGGAUGUUGAGACAAAAUUAUAGUAAAUAUUCAUAUUCAUAAAACAAAUGGAACCUCUUUUAAUACAAUCAAUUAGUGUGCUUACUAUACUACUGCUGUGCCAAAGCUUCUUCCAGUAUUGUCUGUUCUGUUGUUUAAAUGUAGGUGCCUCCCCUGUAUAUUUUUUUAUAACUGGUCAUUAUUUAGCUUGCCAGUGGAUAGCAGCUGUGAACAUAAAAAGCAGAUGUUUGGUGAGAUAAAGCCACCUACUCCUCAGCACAAUGGCUAUUAGUGUAAUGGCUUUCGUUGGUGGAAGAGAGGAGGACCAAAAUGCAGCAUGGUACGUAUCCAUAAU